UCUAAUAUGACAGAAAAAUGUAUUGAACCUAAAAUUCAAAAAUAAAGAUUAAUCUUUUAUUAGAA
rnacentral:tRNA from 1 species